rnacentral:lncRNA from 1 species
GAAGCUUGGUGCUCCUCAGUAUGACAAAGGGGAUGACCCGUUCGAGUACCUCGGAAGGGUCAAAAUGAUUACAGAUGAGAUAGGAGCUGAUGAUAGCAGAGCCAUUCAGAUGGCUGGGUUCACACUCAAAUGCAAGAAGGCCCGUGAGUGGUUUAAAAAUUAUGUGAACCCGAGGGUGGACAGCAUGACCUGGGAGGAGUUUGCAAACGAGUUUGCUGGAUGGGCUUUCCC